GUUGCCUAUAUAAACUCCUGUCCCAUGGCCUUUCUUAUGAACAUGUUCCAAACCUGUUGUCAUCUUCCUGACCUCCACCUCUGCCUGCUCCAUGUUUGUUCUACUAGUUUCAUGUGCCUGAAUAUUGAUUAUUGCCUUGUUCUGCCUUCCAUGUCUGCCUGUUGCUGGCCUCAACUAUUCGACCCACCAUUUAGUUAAAGAUUACAAGCAAAUGGAUCAUUCACUUCCUCUUGAGCGCACACAGUUCCCAGCGUAUAGCGUGUUCUUGGGUGAAACAAUCCUUGGACAUUUUGCUUUCCUCCAGGGAUUCAAGACAAUCGAGGUCAGAGUCACCGUAUAUCUGAGGAAACCACCCGACAUCCUAUCUUCUUCACAGUCUGACCAGAUGGCUGCUGCUGAGAGACCGUUACAUUCCAGCUUAUGCAUUUCCUACUGUUUCAAUAAACAUUGCUUUGACCAUUACUGGGUUGUGAU